CUGAAUCAGAAGACCAGCCAUAACCUUACUGCUGCUUGUUCCCUUUGGCACAGCAGGGGUCGUACUCAUGUAGCACAGCUCCAUCUUGAACAGAUUUCCUCCAGGUACUAUCGAGAGCUGCCUGAGAGGAAGAUGAGAAUGAGUUCCAACCACAGCUGAUGAGCCCCAUCUGUCCAAAGGGACUGGUUUCAAGGCACAAGUCGACACAACAGAAGAUCCCCACUACACAGCUCCUG